GUCCCUGGACUUCAUCCAGGAGGGGAGAUUUAAACUGAGGGAGACUGAAGGUCCUGCUACCCACCUGACAGCUCAUUCUCCUCCCUCUCCCAGCCUGUAAAAUCUUGUAGAAAUAUUCUUCACUGCAUGCCAUCCUCUCUGCUCUUCAGAGUGCCUCAAUUCACUGCCUGAAGAAGACAUGGGAGAAAGUUUCCAGGAGUAGCCAUCUAAAAUGUCACCUUGGUGAUGGACUUUUGGAGAGCCCAGAAAAGGCUGCAGAUGAAGGGUGUCGUUUCCUUCCUUGCCACUUUCUUCACUGAUCUGAUGAUGCUGGACAUUGCAAUGGAGAAGUACCUGGAGGGGAAUGAGAUCAACCACCAGAAAAAGAAUAAGGAAUACAAAGUAAUGACAGAGAUCAUGCUGCUCCAGGUGGCUGCAGGUAAUUACAACCUACAGCCCAAGGAUCCAUGUAGGGCCUCAUUCAAGUCUAUGGAGUGGCUCAACAAGGAUGAGAAGUGAGACCCAUCAGGAGCCUGGUGAGGGUAGAGGUGGACUCUUUCUGGUGGCCACUCUGGGGAUCCAUCUUCUUUGGCUCCCUGAGC
rnacentral:lncRNA from 12 species